AAACAGAACGCUGCCGGCGCGGAGUGGAGGCUCAGCCAGGUUCCGGACUCUGGUCCCUGGAGGAGACCACCAAAGGAAAUGAUCCAUCACCAUCUCCUGAGAAGUAAGCGAGGAUUGCCCUUGAGAGAGAUGAAUUUUAACCACAGAGAAUAACAUUUAUAAAACAAUCUGCGUUUUCCGUAAGGCAUUUAAGACGCCCAGUACUGGACAAGAAGAAAUAGGUCUAGAGCUAUUAAGAAACUGAGCAAAGUAUGUGAAAAUAACUGUUUUCAGACAUCGGACGGCAGGCAGUUCCAGUCCUUUUACAUGAAAGAAGAGAAACAAAUGAGAUGAACCAGGAUGAAACAAAGACUUUUUCAGACAAACAAGUCCAGGAAGGCCACAUCCUGAAGCAGCACCAUCCCAGCUGACUUGCAGACUAUGGGAAAAGAAUUAAAUGCUUACUAUAAUGAUUUUGAGCCUGACAUGCAACUAUAGAAAAUUAAUAAGAAUUGCUGAUUGCAUCUCUCUCCAAGAAAAAAUGAUCCCGUAAACAUUUACCAGGAUUCAUAUUAUGUGAACAUUAAUGAUGAGCUAUACCUUAGUACUGUUGCCAGUAUCUAUGGGAACGCUAAGAUACAAUAACCAUUCAUUCAACAAAGAUUUAUGGAGCACCUUCUACCUGCCAGGAAUGAGCACUGAACAAAAUGACAAAAACUCUGCCUGAGUUUAUGUUCAGGAAGUGGAAUAAAGACAACAAACAAAAGAAAUAAGCAAAACAUUUACAUAUGGAGGAAAAUAAAGCAGGUACACCUAGGGAAAGGUCCCAAUGAUUCCAGUGCCUUCCACCUAAGAAAAUGACUUCCCCAAGUUGGACAGCUCAAGGGGGAGAGCUUCCCUAAAUGUUUCAGGGGCCUCUGCUCCGCCUACUGCAUCCCCAUGUGUAGCCUUGUUGACAAGCACAGACCAGCAUGAUGACCCCGUGAUGAGGGAGGUGUGUGCAAAUUAUGAUCCUCUCCUUAAAUAUAUCAUCCAAGAAAGUUUAUCUUGUACAUUUUAUAUGUCUAUGUUUAAAUAAACUACAUAUUAAAGAUUUCA